GUUACCGACGCGCAUACAAGUUUGUGUUUCCUCGCCAAUUCAGUCCUUGGUCAUCACUUCCGAGAGACGGCUGCUUCUGUUCGGAGCGUUUUCGCAUCAUGGCGAGCAGAAGAGUGUUGGUAAAAAAGAGAAAUUGUUUAUUUAUUGAAUGAAGAAGAUGAAGGCGCAGAUGUCGGCAGUGACAGUGAGAUCGAGGACCAUGUAAG